GAGGUCACUGCUAUUGGGAUUCGACUAAGCCAUGCGAGUCGCGAGGGUUCGGCCCUCGGCUGACGGCUCAGUAACACGUGGAUAAUCUGCCCUUAGGUGGAGGAUAACCUCGGGAAACUGAGGAUAACACUCCAUAGAUCUAGGAGGCUGGAAUGCACUUAGAUUAAAAACUUCGGUGCCUAAGGAUGAGUCUGCGGACUAUCAGGUAGUAGUCAGGGUAACGACCUGACCAGCCUACGACGGAUACGGGUUGUGAGAGCAAUAACCCGGAGAUGAUAUCUGAGACACGAUAUCAGGCCCUACGGGGCGCAGCAGGCGCGAAAACUUCACACUGUGCGGAAGCACGAUGAGGGAAUCCCAAGUGCUGGCUCGUAAGAGUCAGCUGUUUCUUUGUCUAGAAAACAAAGAGAGUAAGGGCUGGGUAAGACGGGUGCCAGCCGCCGCGGUAAUACCUGCAGCCCAAGUGGUGGCCGCUAUUAUUGGGCCUAAAACGUCCGUAGCCGGUCUAGUAAAUGCCUAGGUAAAUCGUACGGCUUAACCGUACGAAUUCUGGGUAGACUGCUGGACUUGGGACUGGGAGAGGCUAGAGGUACUCCUGGGGUAGAGGUGAAAUUCUGUAAUCCUAGGGGGACGACCAGUGGCGAAGGCGUCUAGCUAGAACAGGUCUGACGGUGAGGGACGAAGCCCUGGGGCGCAAACGGGAUUAGAUACCCCGGUAGUCCAGGGUGUAAACGCUGCUUGCUUGAUGUUAGUCGGGCUCCGAGCCCGAUUAGUGUCGGAGAGAAGUUGUUAAGCAAGCUGCCUGGGGAGUACGGCCGCAAGACUGAAACUUAAAGGAAUUGGCGGGGGAGCACCG
rnacentral:rRNA from 1 species